UAAACGUAAUUUCUAAAAUCAUUAUACUCAAGUUCAAGCUCCUACAUUAAAAUUAUCUAUUGUACUCCAACGCUGUUAAAGCACCAACCUGACUAUAAAUAUUGAUAAUCGUUUUCUGAACUACAGUGUAGAACUAAAGUGUGGAAAACAGUUGUCAAUUGUGACAGUAUUUCAACAGCAAAACAACAGCAGGAGAGCGCCAACCCCCUAGUUGACCUGGCGAAAAAAUUGACAAGGGUUGUGCCUUUGACAGUAUACUACUUUUUGCGGCAGAGGAAACAUUAGGAAAAGAAGAAGAGAGAAAGUCAAAAGGCACUUAGAUGCUGAUGACACUUAUUUUCCUGAACUGGACAGUGCACCAGUUGCAAAAAAAAAGACAAUAAAAAUUAUUUAGCAAAAGAUAAUGGCUGUUUCAGAAUGCCACAGUACAUCUUGGAAUCCAUGUUCCCUCAAUGGAAUGCAGCGCCCCAAUACUAGCAGCACUCAUGCAGCCCCAGACAAUGAUGCUACCACCACCAUGCUUGACUGUAGGGAAGACAGUUUUCUUGGCACUCCUCACCAGGAUGUUGCACAGGUUGUUUUUAGCAAACAUUUUGCAGGCUUUCUUGUGAGCCAGCUUCAGAAGAGGCUUCCUUCUGGAACAACGGCCAUGUAAACAGACUUGUUGCAGUGUGCCGUCCGUUUCUGCAACCUCUAAAUCGAUGGUGCAGCACUAAUGCGUCUUUUUUUUUGAAGAAGCUUCUGCACCUGACGCACAGCACAAGGACUCAACUUCUUUGAUAGACCCUUGCGAGACCCGUUCUGUCUUAAGAAACCUCUGUAUGACCCUGGCCACUAUACUGUAACUCAGUUUCAGGGUGCUUCUGAUCUUUUUAUGGUCUAGGCCAGCGGUCCCCAACUUUUUUGCGCCACGGACCGGAUUAAUGACAGACAAUAUUUUUGUUUUGUAGACAUUGUGAAUUUAUUUUUAUUUGUUGGUGAGAGUAUUAAUUAACCAACAUACCAUGGCAGAUUCCAUCUGGAUUUUCCCCUUUCUUUCUGUGGAUGAGAAUGCAGAAAAACAUGUAAACAUAAAAACAAAACCUCUGUGUGUCAGAGUCAUUAAAGAAGUCGUUACAAACAAUAUAUCAUUUAAAAGCUAGUUUUUAUAAUUGGUGACAUUGUGUGUGUGAUUUAUUAAUAUAAAUAAAUAAAUAAACACAAGUAAACACAAUAUGCAGUUUUUAAAUUAAGGUUAUUUUUGAGGGGAAAAAAAUCCCAAACUGUAUGUAUGUAUUCCUCUAGUUACGAUAGCGAUACGUUUCGACGACCCCAUCAUUAUUUACAAAUAUCGUCAGUUGAAGAUAGUGCUAUGACUUUGAUAGCCUUUAAAUUUUUUAUAUUUCUUACCAUUUUGUUGUAUCACUAUCUUCAUCGUAAGAUUGAAAAAUCGUAAGUCGAACUAUCUUAACUCGGUUACCAUCUGUAUACAUAUGUGUAUAUAUCUAUAUUAGUGUUGCACAAGCCAGUGCACUCUUAGUGCUGGUCCCAAGCCCAGAUAAAUGGGGAGGGUCGUGUUAUUAAGAGCAUCCAGCAUAAAACAUGUGCCAAAUCAAAUAUGCGGAUCAGGAAAUAGAAUUUCAUACCGAUGAAAGGAGAUUAAAUAAAUAUAAAAGAGGCGAAAUUAAAACCUCCAGCAAAACAUACACUUAUUCACGACGUCCCUUCUUUACUUAGAUAUAAAAUAAAUAAA